UACGUAGGGUGCAAGCGUUGUCCGGAAUUAUUGGGCGUAAAGAGCUCGUAGGCGGUCUGUCGCGUCGAAUGUGAAAACCCCGGGGCUCAACCCCGGGCCUGCAUUCGAUACGGGCAGACUAGAGUUCGGUAUGGGAGUCUGGAAUUCCUGGUGUAGCGGUGAAAUGCGCAGAUAUCAGGAGGAACACCGAUGGCGAAGGCAGGUCUCUGGGCCGAUACUGACGCUGAGGAGCGAAAGCGUGGGGAGCGAACAGG
rnacentral:rRNA from 1 species